rnacentral:rRNA from 1 species
ACGGAGGGUCCAAGCGUUAUCCGGAAUCAUUGGGUUUAAAGGGUCCGUAGGCGGUUUAAUAAGUCAGUGGUGAAAGCCCAUCGCUCAACGAUGGAACGGCCAUUGAUACUGUUAAACUUGAAUUAUUAGGAAGUAACUAGAAUAUGUAGUGUAGCGGUGAAAUGCUUAGAGAUUACAUGGAAUACCAAUUGCGAAGGCAGGUUACUACUAAUAUAUUGACGCUGAUGGACGAAAGCGUGGGGAGCGAACAG